rnacentral:tRNA from 1 species
GCGCUUGUAGCUCAGGGGAUAGAGCACUGGUUUCCGGUACCAGGUGUCGGGGGUUCGAAUCCCUCCAGGCGUG